AGUGAACGCUGGCGGUAGGCCUAACACAUGCAAGUCGAACGGCAGCACAGUAAGAGCUUGCUCUUACGGGUGGCGAGUGGCGGACGGGUGAGGAAUACAUCGGAAUCUACUUUUUCGUGGGGGAUAACGUAGGGAAACUUACGCUAAUACCGCAUACGACCUACGGGUGAAAGCAGGGGAUCUUCGGACCUUGCGCGAUUGAAUGAGCCGAUGUCGGAUUAGCUAGUUGGCGGGGUAAAGGCCCACCAAGGCGACGAUCCGUAGCUGGUCUGAGAGGAUGAUCAGCCACAUGGGAAAUGAGAAACGGUCCAGACCCCCACGGGAGGCAGGAGGGGGGAAUUUUGGAAAAGGGGCGAAAGCCUGACCCAGCCAUACCGCGGGGGUGAAGAAGGCCUUCGGGUCGUAAAGCCUUUUUGUUGGGAAAAAAAAGCAGCAGGUUAAUACCCCGUUGUUCUGACGGUACCCAAAGAAUAAGCACCGGCUAACUUCGU
rnacentral:rRNA from 1 species